GGGAAGGGAGAAUUCUGCCAGCAGCCUGCCUUUGGACUUGAACUGCAUCUCUUCCUUGGGUCUCCAGUCUGCCGACCUACCCUGGAGAUUUUGGACUUGCCAAGCCUCCACAAUCACCAGCCUCCUGUGACAUUGAGAGUCAUGCCUCAGCCGGGCUGAACUGUGCAGUGACAAAGGAGCUUCAGCUGUGUGGUCAGACAGACCCACCUUUGACUCCCAAACCCACCUCUUGGAAACAUUGCAGAUAUUCCAGUGAUGGCGGAGGAAAAAGAGAGAACAAGCCUGGGUCCCCGAUAGCGUCUUCGAAGCUGCUGACCUUUCCCUGAGAACUUGUACC
rnacentral:lncRNA from 1 species